rnacentral:rRNA from 1 species
CCUACGGGUGGCAGCAGUGAGGAAUAUUGGUCAAUGGGCGAGAGCCUGAACCAGCCAAGUCGCGUGAAGGAUGACGGCCCUACGGGUUGUAAACUUCUUUUGUCAGGGAGCAAUUGAGUCCACGUGUGGUCUUAGCGAGAGUACCUGAAGAAAAAGCAUCGGCUAACUCCGUGCCAGCAGCCGCGGUAAUACGGAGGAUGCGAGCGUUAUCCGGAUUUAUUGGGUUUAAAGGGUGCGUAGGCGGAAUAUCAAGUCAGCGGUAAAAAUUCGGGGCUCAACCCCGUCGUGCCGUUGAAACUGGUGUUCUUGAGUGGGCGAGAGGAAGGCGGAAUGCGUGGUGUAGCGGUGAAAUGCAUAGAUAUCACGCAGAACCCCGAUUGCGAAGGCAGCCGUCCGGCGCCCUACUGACGCUGAGGCACGAAAGUGCGGGGAGCGAACAGGAUUAGAUACCCGAGUAGUC